UGAGGAAUAUUGGUCAAUGGGCGAGAGCCUGAACCAGCCAAGUAGCGUGCAGGAUGACGGCCCUAUGGGUUGUAAACUGCUUUUAUGUGGGGAUAAAGUGCGUGACGUGUCAUGCAUUGCAGGUACCACAUGAAUAAGGACCGGCUAAUUCCGUGCCAGCAGCCGCGGUAAUACGGAAGGUCCGGGCGUUAUCCGGGUUUAUUGGGUUUAAAGGGAGCGUAGGCUGUCUAUUAAGCGUGUUGUGAAAUUUACCGGCUCAACCGGUGGCUUGCAGCGCGAACUGGUCGACUUGAGUAUGCAGGAAGUAGGCGGAAUUCAUGGUGUAGCGGUGAAAUGCUUAGAUAUCAUGACGAACUCCGAUUGCGCAGGCAGCUUACUGUAGCAUAACUGACGCUGAUGCUCGAAAGUGCGGGUAUCAAACAGG
rnacentral:rRNA from 1 species